ACUCCUACGGGAGGCAGCAGUGGGAAUAUUGCACAAUGGGCGCAAGCCUGAUGCAGCAACGCCGUGUGAGUGAAGAAGGUUUUCGGAUCGUAAAACUCUGUCCUAAGGGAAGAAACAAAUGACGGUACCUUAGGAGGAACGCCCCGGCUAACUACGUGCCAGCAGCCGCGGUAAAUACGUAGGGGGCAAGCGUUAUCCGGAAUCACUGGGCGUAAAGGGUGCGUAGGCGGCUUAGCAAGCCAGGGGUGAAAGGCAUUGGCUCAACCAAUGUAAGCCUUUGGAACUGUUAAGCUUGAGUGCAGGAGAGGUAAGUGGAAUUCCUAGUGUAGAGGUGAAAUUCGUAGAUAUUAGGAGGAACACCAGUGGCGAAGGCGACUUACUGGACUGUAACUGACGCUGAUGCACGAAAGCGUGGGUAGCGAACAGGAUUAGAUACCCUGGUA
rnacentral:rRNA from 1 species